rnacentral:rRNA from 1 species
UACGAAGGGGGCUAGCGUUGCUCGGAAUCACUGGGCGUAAAGCGCACGUAGGCGGAUUUUUAAGUCAGGGGUGAAAUCCUGGAGCUCAACUCCAGAACUGCCUUUGAUACUGGGAAUCUCGAGUCCGGGAGAGGUGAGUGGAACUGCGAGUGUAGAGGUGAAAUUCGUAGAUAUUCGCAAGAACACCAGUGGCGAAGGCGGACUCACUGGCCCGGUACUGACGCUGAGGUGCGAAAGCGUGGG